GAGUUAACAACAUUGACAGCCCACGUAGU
rnacentral:sRNA from 1 species